CACCAAAUGUGUUAGAUAAGAGUUCAGAGCCUGUGUUCUAGACACAUGAUUUAGAGUACAGACUUGGGUCCUGCUAGAAAACAACUCAGAACAUUUGCUUAGCCUAAUACUUUUUUUUUUUUUAAUCUGCACAUAAUUAUUAUUGUAGCAGCUGCUUUUGCAAUAAAAAGACUUAAAGUCGAGGGUCCCUAUUCUUACUGAGGUGCUGUUUUCCACAUGCAGUGCUUGGCUGUGUUGGAGGUCACCAAGAAAGACUUCCUGGCUGUCAUGUGGAAGCUAAGUGGGCUGGGGUCAAAAGGGUUUCUGGCCAUGGUGCUUGUGCUGCAGUGAUCUUGUUCUCCAUCACACUCCAACACAGAUGGACCAGCAAACAGAUUUAAAGGCUGUUGUGAAUGAUGGGUUACAGAAAUGUCUUCC
ensembl:lncRNA